rnacentral:rRNA from 1 species
CACGUAGGAGGCGAACGUUAUCCGGAUUUAUUGGGUUUAAAGGGUGCGCAGGUUGUUUGAUAAGUCAGUGGUGAAAGUCUGUCGCUUAACGGUAGGAUUGCCAUUGAUACUGUUGGACUUGAAUAUGGAUGAGGUAGGCGGAAUGUGUAGUGUAGCGGUGAAAUGCAUAGAUAUUACACAGAACACCGAUUGCGAAGGCAGCUUACUAAUCCAUCAUUGACGCUGAGGCACGAAAGCGUGGGGAUCAAACAGGAUUAGA